rnacentral:rRNA from 1 species
CCCUUAGAUGUUCUGGGCCGCACGCGCGCUACACUGAUGCAUUCAACGAGUCCAACCUUGACCGAGAGGUCCGGGUAAUCUUUGAAACUGCAUCGUGAUGGGGCUAGAUUAUUGCAAUUAUUAAUCUUCAACGAGGAAUGCCUAGUAAGCGUGAUUCAUCAAAUCGCGUUGAUUACGUCCCUGCCCUUUGUACACACCGCCCGUCGCUCCUACCGAUUGAGUGUGUUGGUGAGGAGUUUGGAUUGGCCUCGGAAGGUGGUUCGCCACCGUCCGUAGCUGAGAAGUUCUUCAAACCGCCCCACUUAGAGGAAGGAGAAGUCGUAACA